UUUUUUUAUUAAUGUCCAGUGGCAAAUAGUGAACGCAUCAACAGGAAAAGAAUCCAUUGAUAAUAAAAUAGUACCUGCAUAGUGGUCCAAUGUAGUGACGCUCAGAAAUUUUAACUGGCACUCAAAAAUAAGGAAAAGUUUGAUAAAUAAAAUUUUUGCAAUGAAAUAAGUCACAAAUACAUCCUCCUCAAAGAAGGGUUCUUUAACUUGCAGUUCAUGUGACACUUUUCAAUGCAUCAUAUUUAAAUUUGUGAUUCCAAUAGGACAUGGCUGAUUAUUCAUGCAUCCCAUAUAUCUAAACAGAUGCCCCUAGCCAUUAUUUUUGUCAUUUUUUGAAAUCCUGUUGGUUUUAUAUAUCUUUUGUUUACAGUAGCCUUGACCUUUAAAGUGUCACUUUUUUACCUGGAAAAUUAUCUUAUUUUUCUUUCAAUGAUUUUUUCCCCC
rnacentral:lncRNA from 1 species